rnacentral:rRNA from 1 species
AGUGAACGCUGGCGGUAGGCCUAACACAUGCAAGUCGAACGGCAGCACAGUAAGAGCUUGCUCUUACGGGUUGCGAGUGGCGGACGGGUGAGGAAUACAUCGUAAUCUACUUUUUCGUGUGGGUUAACGUAGGGAAACUUACUCUAAUACCGCAUACGACCUACGGGUGAAAGCAGUGGAUCUUCUGACCUGUCGCGAUUGAAUUAGCCGAUGUCGGAUUAGCUAGUUGGCGGGGUAAAUGCCCACCAAGGCGACGAUCCGUAGCUGGUCUGAGAGGAUGAUCAGCCACACUGGAACUGGGACACGGUCCAGACUCCUACGGGAGGCCGCAGUGGGGAAUAUGGGACAAUGGGCGCAAGCCUGAUCCAGCCAUACCGCGUGGGUGAAGAAGGCCUUCGGGUUGUAAAGCCCUUUUGUUGGGAAAGAAAAGCAGCAGGUUAAUACGCAGCUGUUCUGACGGUACCCAAAGAAUAAGCACCGGCUAACUUCGUG